UACGAAGGGGGCGAGCGUUGUUCGGAUUUACUGGGCGUAAAGGGCGCGCAGGCGGUCUUGUAAGUCAGGCGUGAAAGCCCCGGGCUUAACCUGGGAAGUGCGCUGGAUACUCUGAGACUGGAGUACGGGAGAGGAGAGUGGAAUUCCCAGUGUAGAGGUGAAAUUCGUAGAUAUUGGGAAGAACACCAGUGGCGAAGGCGGCUCUCUGGACUGUAACUGACGCUGAGGCGCGAAAGCGUGGGGAGCAAACAGG
rnacentral:rRNA from 1 species